rnacentral:rRNA from 1 species
CCUACGGGAGGCAGCAGUAGGGAAUCUUCCGCAAUGGACGAAAGUCUGACGGAGCAACGCCGCGUGAACGAUGAAGGCCUUCGGGUCGUAAAGUUCUGUUGUUAGGGAAGAACAAGUGCUAGUUAAAUAAGCUGGCACCUUGACGGUACCUAACCAGAAAGCCACGGCUAACUACGUGCCAGCAGCCGCGGUAAUACGUAGGUGGCAAGCGUUGUCCGGAAUUAUUGGGCGUAAAGCGCGCGCAGGCGGUUUCUUAAGUCUGAUGUGAAAGCCCCCGGCUCAACCGGGGAGGGUCAUUGGAAACUGGGAAACUUGAGUGCAGAAGAGGAAAGUGGAAUUCCGAAGUGUAGCGGUGAAAUGCGUAGAGAUUUGGAGGAACACCAGUGGCGAAGGCGACUUUCNGGUCUGUAACUGACGCUGAGGCGCGAAAGCGUGGGGAGCAAACAGGAUUAGAUACCCGUGGUAGUCCACGCUGUAAACGAUGAGUGCUAAAGUGUUAGAGGGUUUCCGCCCUUUAGUGCUGAAGUUACGCAUUAAGCACCCCGCCUGGGGAGUACGGUGCAAGCUGAAACUCAAAGGAUUGACGGNUGAGAGNGCGAGCGCGACGAGGAGAGG